UACGUAGGGUGCAAGCGUUAAUCGGAAUUACUGGGCGUAAAGCGUGCGCAGGCGGUGAGCUGUGUCCGAUGUGAAAGCCCCGGGCUUAACCUGGGAAUGGCAUUGGAAACUGGCUCGCUGGAGUGUGGCAGAGGGGGGGUGGAAUUCCGCGUGUAGCAGUGAAAUGCGUAGAGAUCGGGAGGAACACCAAAGGCGAAAGCACUCUGCUGGGCCGCAACUGACACUGAGAGACGAAAGCGAGGGGAGCAAAAGGG
rnacentral:rRNA from 1 species